AGAGCAUAUAUUAAAGUUGUUGCAGUUAAAAAGCUCGUAGUUGGACUUCUGGUUUAAUGCACCUGGCCCGCGGCCCACAAGGCCUGUGAGUGCCGGCGCGCGUUUACCAUCCUUCCAGCAACGGCUACCCUUAACUGGGCGGCUGGAACUGGAUCUUUUACUUUGAAAAAAUUAGAGUGUUUAAAGCAGGCGUUUGCUCUGAAUACAUUAGCAUGGAAUAAUAAUCUAGGACUUCGGUUCUAUUUUGUUGGUUUCUAUAACUGAAGUAAUGAUUGAUAGGGAUAGUUGGGGGUGCUAGUAUUGGCCGGUCAGAGGUGAAAUUCUUGGAUUCGGUCAAGACUAACUUAUG
rnacentral:rRNA from 1 species